UGCAAAUGGAGAGGAUGUGCAAAUGGAGAGGAUGUUACUUGGUCUAGGAAGUCAGCCUUAUGUUCCCUGCCUCCAGGCCCUAUUUUUCUGCCUCACAACAGUGUUCAACAGGUAUAAGGUCAUUGAAGACCAAGAAUCAAGCAAUCGAGCGUCCUCGUCGGUUGUAGCGAAAGAGAACCGUGACCAACAGGAGAGCAGUGUCCACCCAGGUCACUUGGGGU